GCGCACGGGUGCGUAACACGUAACUAACCUACCUAUAACUAGGGGAUAGCCCGCCGAAAGGCGGAUUAAUACCGCAUAAGCUGUUUGAGUGGCAUCACUUGAUUAGUAAAGAUUUAUUGGUUAUAGAUGGGGUUGCGGGUCAUUAGCUAGUUGGUUGGGUAACGGCUGACCAAGGCGACGAUGACUAGGGGAGCUGAGAGGCUGGUCCCCCACACGGGCACUGAGAUACGGGCCCGACUCCUACGGGAGGCAGCAGUAGGGAAUAUUGGGCAAUGGGCGAGAGCCUGACCCAGCCAUGCCGCGUGCA
rnacentral:rRNA from 1 species